GGACUGCACGGUGCAGUUAACUUUACAAAACUGAAGCCGUGACCUGUGAUGUGACCUCCCUCCCGGUCCCAGUCCCAGUCCCACCACCAGGGCAGCACGCUCUCCUCCCUCCGGCCUCCGCCCACUGGAUCCGAGACCCACGCGCAAAACUCGGGCCGGGAAAAACUCGCCAGGAAAGAGAACGCUCGGAAGGGAAACACAGGCUCGGGCUCGAGACGAAACCCUAACCCUACCUCCGCUUGCCUCGACGUCCCUCCUCGCCGGAGGCCUCCCCCGGAGACGCAGCCUCCGCUGAGGGCUCCGGCGGCGAUGCGCCCCUCCCAGUUGGAGGCGUUAUGAGCGGGGAAAUGGCGCGCGCCGAGGCCUUGCCAGAGGGGGAGGCCCCCGGGUUCGGUGUCGACCUGUAUGCGCAAGCCACCAAGGCUGUGUCCCUGCGGACGCCGUUCGAGGGCGAUGAGGCGGCGCCCAGGGUUCCCACGCUGCCCGCGCGGCUCGUCAGCUGGGCAGGGCCAGGGGACGCCCGGAAGAAGCACAAGAAGAUUCUGCCUCCCCCUCCUGAUGAUGCUGCUCCGGAGCCUCCACCACAGUCACCUGUAGUCACCCCUGCGAAGGUUGGCUUGUGGGACCAGUUUGAGGCGUAUUUCCGUCCCGUAACACUGGCUGACGUCGAAAUGUUAAGACCAAAGCUCCCAUUUGGCUACAGCAAGGUUGACUCAUGUAUGCUAGUACCAUUUCUGGGCAGUGGCAAUGAGUCAACAACCCAAGCUGAGACAUAUGACGUGGCUGUGGCUGAAACAACCUUGUAUUUGGGUGUUGGUGGUGAAGAAGUGGUCACUAAUCGGGAGCGCGGCGUGCAAAGUGUGCAUCUGGCUAGUCAGAAAGAGAGGAAUGAUCAAAGCAUUGAACAUGACAUACAUGAUGUGGUUGUGCAACAGAUGGUCAGCGACAAAGAGCUUAAUAGGCACAGAGGGGUACAGGGCAUACACGAAGUUUCUAUUCAGUUGGGAGGGAGAUCAUCUGGAGUGGAUCAAGCUGGGAGCAGUAGUGGCAUUGUUUUAGGACAAUUUGUCAAUGAGGAAGGAACUUCACUUAAUUGGCUGCUAGGAGCAACAGGCCGGUUUGUUCUCACUUCAGAGCGACCCAACAAGAAGAGAAAGCUUCUGGGUGUCGAUGCUGGGUUAGAGCAGCUUGUUCUGCUUCCACGCGUAGGGGCUGAGGCAUCUGCAAGCUGUGAUGUUUGUUGUCUUGGAGAAAGUUCCAUGGAGUCCAAUAGGAUAGUUAACUGCAGCAACUGCAAGGUGUCAGUGCACCAGAAGUGUUAUGGUUUGCAUGCUGUGCCUGAUGGGCAAUGGUUGUGUGCUUGGUGUACAUAUCUAGAGUCUACAGGGUGGUCAUUGAAGGAAGAUGCUGGUAACACCCAGUCGAUGCCUUGUGCUUUAUGCCCAAAGGAGAAAGGAGCUCUUAAACCUGUUAAAGUGGAGUCUACUCGAAAUGAGGGUAUUGGCCACCAAAAAUUUGUGCACUUGUACUGUAGUCUCUGGGCACCAGAGGUUUUUGUUGAGGACAUGGAGUCAAUGGAACCUGUACUUAGCCUUGAAAAUGUCCAAGAGAAUCGGAUGAAGUUGACGUGCAGUAUCUGCAAGAUUAAGCAUGGUGCAUGUGUCCGAUGUAGUCAUGGGACGUGUCGGACGCCCUUUCACCCUAUAUGUGCAAGAGAGUCAAAGCAUCAAAUGGAGAUAUGGGGGAAAUCCAGGCACCCUAAUGUUGAGUUGAGAGCAUUUUGCUCAAAGCAUUCUGCAGUUGAAUACGCCAGUUCUGUAGAUACCAGUAACCUUGCAUCUGAACAGAAUCCUAGAAAAUCUGGCCCAUACAAUACCACCCUCAAUUCUGGGAAAAUUCCAGUAAUUAGGUUCACACGCAAAAACAAGGACAAAUUCAUCAGUUGUGGAACCAGUGCCUCUAGUUCUGGUAACCUGAUCAGAGUCAAGACAAUAGAGCAAGAUGCUUUAGCUAACACAGUUAGAAAUGCAAAUUCUCAACCUAUUCGAAUAUGGGAAACAGGUACUGGUCAUCCCUCUGUUAGUGGUGAUCAUAUCAGAAGUUCUGGUGAUAUUGCUGUAGUGCUUAGAAAGCUAAUUGACAGUGGAAAAGUUAGUGUUAGUGAUGUAGCAUCUGAAGUCGGUAUUUCUUCGGAAUCCUUGGAAGCUGCUCUUGUGGGUGAAACUACCACGUUUUCCCAUGGUUUGACGCUGAAAAUUAUCAAGUGGCUCCAAAAUUCUGUGCAUAUGCAUGGCGCUCAAGGAAAUGUUUGUAAAGGGAGCUCAGGGGUGGUGCAAGAUAACAAAUCAGAUGGAUUGGACACCACAGAUACUGUUGAUGUGAAAAAUGCAUUGGUCCUAGAUGAUGACAAGGGUGUACUUGUUGAUGUGCCGGAUUUCGCUGUAACUGAACCUGCACGAACAAGAUCUAAAAGCAACAGCAAGAUACUGAAAGAAAAUAAUGCAACAUGCGCAACAGGUGUGACUAUUGUGCAAAAUGGAGAAAAGAACAUGGUUAAAGAAGAUUCUAAUCCCGAGUGUGCUGCUAAAGAAUUUGCAAACGAAUCUACUCAGGGGUUUUCUCCAAGCAGCAGCAAGGAUGUUUUAAAGGACGAACAUGGAAUAUUGAUACUGAACGACACCUCUGGAAACAAAGAAUCUGGUACCUCCACACAGAUACCAAAUGAAAAGCAAGGUGCAUUACUUGGAAGAAAAAAUAAUGACUUAACUGAGGUCGAACUGGGUCCAUGCUUAGAGAAAGGAGUACCUUCACAUGGCCAUUGUUUUGUUCAGGGUGAUAAUGGUGUAGAUGGGGUAGGUUCAGUUGAAAAUAGCUUCAACACUUCAAAUUGCUCUCAUGGACAACCUUUUUUCAACUUUGAUGAUUCACAUUCUUAUAUUCACCCAUUCAUUAAGAAAAAGGUAUCUCAUCAUUGGGACAUUACUUUCAAUCAGAAUAAGGAAACUCUGAAUCACUAUAUACAAGAGUCAUCAUAUCCUUCACAUGAGAAAAUACCAACUGAUUCCUUGGUAGAAGUAGAGAGUACAGCAGAUACAACCGUGACAGAUCAAGUUUUGAAAGCAAGGUCUUCAAAAAUUCUUGAGCAUUCACCUGAUGAUGAAGUUGAAGGAGAGAUGGUGUACUUACAAUCUAGGCUGCUUGACAAUGCUGUUGUUCUGAAGCACAGAUAUGAAAAAUUGAUAGCAAAGGUUGUCCAAAAUCUUUGUCGCGAGCUGGAUGCUUUCAGUAAAAGAAAAUGGGAUCUUAUCUUUGUGAAUCAGUUUCUUCGUGAUGUUAGAGAAGCUAAAAAACGUGGGAGAAAAGAAAAGAGACAUAAGGAAGCCCAAGCUGUACUAGCUGCAGCUGCAGCUGCUAUUGCAUCCUCCUCACGGAACUCAACUGUGAGAAAAGAUGCAAAGGAGAAUGCACCAGAGAGUUCUCCAAAACUUGUUGCUGGAUCUUCAAGGGUUGGUCAACGGACUUUUUCAUUGCCACGGAUUAAUGAUUCAUCAAAGUCAUCCAACAACAAAGUAUCAUCAGAUAACAAAUUUGGAAGUUUUCAUAUGCCAAUUUCUUCAAAAGAAAAUGGGCUAUACUGUGAUGUAUGCAUGCGAACUGAAACUCUGUUGAACCGAAUAUUUGUCUGCUCCAGAUGCAAGGCUGCUGUGCACAUAGAUUGCUACAGAAAUCUGGAAAAUUCUAUUGGGCCCUGGAACUGCGAACUUUGUGAAGAUGAAGACAUUUCAUCAGAAGCUACAAGUACAACCGUUAGUGAUAAAUCACAUUGUAAUGGCAAGUUACCCUUUGCACAGUGUGGCAUGUGCCAUGGCACAUCAGGUGCUUUUAGAAAGACUGUAGAUGGGAAGUGGGUUCAUGCUUUCUGUGCUGAGUGGUUGUUGGAUACCAAGUAUGUAAGGGGACAAGAUAGCCCUGUAGAAGGAAUGGAAAACCUUGUAGAGGGAAAAGACACUUGUUGUCUCUGCCUCUGCAAUGUUGGCAUGUGCUUAAGGUGUAGUAGUGGGGAUUGCAACAUUACUUUCCAUCCUACUUGCGCUAGAAGUUCUGGUUUAUACAUGAACACGAAAGGGUUUGGUACUACAUCACAGCACAAAGCAUACUGUGACAAACACAGCGUAGAACAGAAAGAGGCUGAUGCACAGCAAUAUGGACCUGAGGAGCUCAGGAGCAUGAAACGAAUGAGGUAUCAGAUGCAAGAGCUCAUUACUCACUGCCACUUAUGAAGAGAUCAGUCUGAAACCAACAAAUUAUCUUUAGCUACCUUGUGAAAACUCUGUGGUUUGCUUGUAUCAUUCGAGUUAGCUAUUUACAGUUUUGGGAAUACAUUAUGCUGCCACAGCACUUCAUGGGGCAGAACUCAUCAGUCAUUAUUCAUAGAGGAAACAAUAUAUUUAGGAAUUGUUUUUCUUAUGCAACCAACCUUGUGCAUUCCUGACUUCCCGUACUCAUGUUCCAUGCAGUACAUGUUUAUUUGGAUGUUAUUGAAUACCGAGUGAAGCUGCACAUAGUAUCCUUUUAGACUAUCCUCCUGACUCCGUCCCAUGGUUUUGAGAAGCUCAACUUACGUUGAAUUGGAGAAACUACGCCUGUUGUGUGAGAGAAUAAUUAAGAGAGAGAAGGUGAAGAGAGAGACGGUUAUGUGUGAUCAUGAUAUACUUGCCAAAACAAAGGACACUGUUAUUUUCUCCUACCUUGCGUGUGGAGCAAGCUCAGAAUCUGCAACUACUUCAGUUAAUAACAGGUCGUACAUGCAAAGAUCUGAUGAUGUCACAGUAGAUAGUACUAUUUCUGGGAAGAAGACCAUAAGAUUUUCUCUGAAAAACAGAGAUGUUGAUAGAAACACAGCUGACAGCUCAAGAACAUUGAUAUCAUUCAAACGCAAGUUGAGUGAGAGGGGACCACGAGCUGGUAAGCAACUUCCACAGAGGCCAACUAUUGCAGCAGAGAAACUGGAAGAUGAAGACAAGAAGACAACUGAUAAGAAGAGAGAAAUGUUUCAAAAAGAGCUCGUUAUGACAUUAGAUCAAGCUUCUACACAGAAUCAACGUCUUCCUAAGGGAUAUGCUUAUGUUCCUCGGGAUUCCUUAUCAAAAGAGAAGCUAUGGAAUCGAAAUACACAGCCACUUAAUCCGCAGGAGCCUGGUGGAUAGGAUCAGUUGAAAUCAAGUCGGUUCAUUUCUCUCGAGGAAGGUCAUGAGAAACUUGUGCAGGCAUGUUCUUUGCAACUGAAAACGACAAGCGGCAAGCAGGGGCUGGCCAGUGCUAUUGCCGCAAGGGUUACAGCCAAUCCGUGAUCUUUUUUGGACCCAAGUUGCAUAAUGGUGCAGACUGAGGUAUUCGUGUGAAUGUAUGGUGUGGCACCAUAACAAGAAGGCUGCCCCCACCCAGGUAACGCGAAUGAUCAGCAAUAUGGGUGAAUUGACCUACUUGUGCUAUACCAAAGACAGCGUGCCAACUGUAUAUAUGAGUUUUAUUAGUGUGCAGAUUUCAUAAAAUUGCCCUGUACAUUCUUUCCUUUGCAAAUGCUAGUUUAGUUGUGCAGGAGAAAAAGAAUUAUAAAUCCGUUUUGGUUGGAUAAGAAAAGAAAUUAGUUUGGUUCUUUAUCAUGGUUCAGAAGAAAAUGCAGUGGUGCUUGCGGGCAACGUUGGGCAGCUGUUUGCCUGAUACAUGUACUCUGUAAGGAUGGUGAAGGUGCCAAAAAUAAGGUCAUGUCACUGCUUUUCGCCAACUAUUUGUUGGUGCUAACUGGGAAGUGGUAUCAUACAGGCUGAGAAACUGUGUUUUAGCUCUUGUCGCCGGUGGUUUCCGAGAGCCCCCUUUUUUUAAGGGGAACAGUGGUCUCUUUACCGGUUUUUAGAUAUCAAGAUAGCAACAAUGUUGAAGUUGGGCUGUAAGUUCUUAGGUUGAGAAGGUAUGAUAGCUGAGCUUUUUUUUUUUCAAUUUACAUGUGGGGUAUAUUGUAUCUGAGACAGGUUUUUUUCCUGCUUGCCGUCCAGAUUAUAACCUUGGUUGGGCCUGUUUAGUAAUUUGUUCGGAAGCGGUUCAUGUUUUCAAUUCUA